AGAUUGAACGCUGGCGGCAGGCCUAACACAUGCAAGUCGAGCGCGAAAGUUCCUUCGGGAAUGAGUAGAGCGGCGGACGGGUGAGUAACGCGUAGGAAUUUGCCCAGUAGUGGGGGACAACUCGGGGAAACUCGAGCUAAUACCGCAUACGCCCCAAGGGGGAAAGCAGGGGAUCUUCGGACCUUGCGCUAUUGGAUAAGCCUGCGUCGGAUUAGCUAGUUGGUGGGGUAAGGCCUACCGAAGGCAACGAUCCGUAGCUGGUCUGAGAGGAUGAUCAGCCACACUGGGACUGAGACACGGCCCAGACUCCUACGGGAGGCAGCAGUGGGAAUAUUGGACAAUGGGGGCAACCCGUGAUCCGAGCCAAUCGCCGCGGUGUCGUAGAAGAAGGUCCUUAGGGUUAGUAAAGCUAACGUUUCGAGUGGGAAGGAAAAGGCGUUGGACCGG
rnacentral:rRNA from 1 species